GGGGUGCCCAGGCGCGAAAACUUUACAAUGCCGGCAACGGCGAUAAGGGAACCUCGAGUGCCAGGUUACAAAUCUGGCUGUCGUGAUGCCUAAAAAGCAUUGCAUAGCAAGGGCCGGGCAAGACCGGUGCCAGCCGCCGCGGUAACGCCGGCGGCUCGAGUGGUAACCGUUAUUAUUGGGUCUAAAGGGUCUGUAGCCGGCCGGGUAAGUCUCUUGGGAAAUCUGGCAGCUUAACUGUCAGGCUUUCAGGAGAUACUGCCUGGCUCGAGGCCGGGAGAGGUGAGAAGUACUUCAGGGGUAGGGGUGAAAUCUUGUAAUCCUUGAAGGACCACCAGUGGCGAAGGCGUCUCACCAGAACGGACCUGACGGCAAGGGACGAAAGCUAGGGGCACGAACCGGAUUAGAUACCCGGGUAGUCCUAGCCGUAAACGAUACUCGCUAGGUGUCGGCCACGGUGCGACCGUGGUCGGUGCCGUAGGGAAGCCGUGAAGCGAGCCACCUGGGAAGUACGGCCGCAAGGCUGAAACUUAAAGGAAUUGGCGGGGGAGCAC
rnacentral:rRNA from 1 species